GGAUUCUCUGAGUAACUGCGAGUGAAAAGAGAUUAGCCCAGCACCGAAGCUCCCGCUGUAAUGGCGGGUUGCAAUGUGGUGUAAGGGAAGGUCCGUUCUGGCGAGGAGCUCGGCGUCCAAGUCCCCCUGACCGGGGCCAUGGCCCGUGGAGGGUGCAAGGCCUGUUUGGCCCAGCUAUCCUUCCUCGCCUUUCGGAUCUCAUCCCAGGAGUCGGGUUGCUUGAAAGUGCAACCCUAAGAGGGUGGUAAACUCCAUCUAAGGCUAAAUACCUUCC
rnacentral:rRNA from 1 species